GAUGAACGCUGGCGGCGUGCCUAAUACAUGCAAGUCGAGCGAACAGACGAGGAGCUUGCUCCUCUGACGUUAGCGGCGGACGGGUGAGUAACACGUGGAUAACCUACCUCUAAGACUGGGAUAACUUCGGGAAACCGGAGCUAAUACCGGAUAAUAUAUUGAACCGCAUGGUUCAAUAGUGAAAGACGGUUUUGCUGUCACUUAUAGAUGGAUCCGCGCCGCAUUAGCUAGUUGGUAAGGUAACGGCUUACCAAGGCAACGAUGCGUAGCCGACCUGAGAGGGUGAUCAGCCACACUGGAACUGAGACACGGUCCAGACUCCUACGGGAGGCAGCAGUAGGGAAUAUUCCACAAUGGGCGAAAGCCUGACGGAGCAACGCCGCGUGAGUGAAGAAGGUCUUCGGAUCGUAAAACUCUGUUAUUAGGAAAGAACAAAUGUGUAAGUAACUAUGCACGUCUUGACGGUACCUAAUCAGAAAGCCACGGCUAACUACGUG
rnacentral:rRNA from 1 species